rnacentral:rRNA from 1 species
AGAGUUUGAUCCUGGCUCAGGAUGAACGCUAGCGAUAGGCUUAACACAUGCAAGUCGAGGGGCAUCACGAGGUAGCAAUACUUUGGUGGCGACCGGCGUACGGGUGCGUAACACGUAUGCAACCUUCCUGUAAGUGUGGGAUAGCCUCCUGAAAGGGAGAUUAAUACCUCAUGAUAUGUAUUUGCUGCAUGGCAUUUACAUUAAACAUUUAUGGCUUACAGAUGGGCAUGCGUUCCAUUAGGCAGUUGGUGUGGUAACGGCUCACCAAACCUACGAUGGAUAGGGGUUCUGAGAGGAAGGUCCCCCACACUGGAACUGAGACACGGUCCAGACUCCUACGGGAGGCAGCAGUGAGGAAUAUUGGUCAAUGGGCGCGAGCCUGAACCAGCCACGUCGCGUGAAGGAUGACGGCCUUAUGGGUUGUAAACUUCUUUUACAGGGGAAUAAAGUGAGUCACGUGUGAUUUUUUGCAUGUACCCUGUGAAUAAGCAUCGGCUAACUCCGUGCCAGCAGCCGCGGUAAUACGGAGGAUGCGAGCGUUAUCCGGAUUUAUUGGGUUUAAAGGGUGCGUAGGCGGGAUAUUAAGUCAGCGGUGAAAGUUUUCGGCUCAACCUUAAAAUUGCCGUUGAAACUGUUAUUCUUGAGUGCAGUAGAGGUAGGCGGAAUUCGUUGUGUAGCGGUGAAAUGCGUAGAUAUAACGAGGAACUCCGAUUGCGUAGGCAGCUUACUAUAUUGCUACUGACGCUGAGGCACGAAAGUGUGGGUAUCAAACAGGAUUAGAUACCCUGGUAGUCCACACAGUAAACGACGAAUACUAGCUGUUUGCGAUAUAUUGUAAGCGGCCGAGCGAAAGCAUUAAGUAUUCCACCUGGGGAGUACGUCGGCAACGAUGAAACUCAAAUGAAUUGACGG